GACGAACGCUGGCGGCGUGCUUAACACAUGCAAGUCGAACGGAAAGGCCCUGCUUUUGUGGGGUGCUCGAUUGGCGAACGGGUGAGUAACACGUGAGUAACCUGCCCUUGACUUUGGGAUAACUUCAGGAAACUGGGGCUAAUACCGGAUAGGAGCUCCUGCUGCAUGGUGUGGGUUGGAAAGUUUCGGCGGUUGGGGAUGGACUCGCGGCUUAUCAGCUUGUUGGUGGGGUAGUGGCUUACCAAGGCUUUGACGGGUAGCCGGCCUGAGAGGGUGACCGGCCACAUUGGGACUGAGAUACGGCGCAGACUCCUACGGGAGGCAGCAGUGGGGAAUAUUGCACAAUGGGCGGAAGCCUGAGGCAGCAACGCCGCGUGCGGGAUGACGGCCUUCGGGUUGUAAACCGCUUUCGCCUGUGACGAAGCGUGAGUGACGGUAAUGGGUAAAGAAGCACCGGCUAACUACGUG
rnacentral:rRNA from 1 species